rnacentral:rRNA from 1 species
AUUGGACGCUGGCGGCAUGCUUUACACAUGCGAGUCGAACGGCAGCGCGGGCUUCGGCCUGGCGGCGAGUGGCGAACGGGUGAGUAAUACAUCGGAACGUGCCCAGUAGUGGGGGAUAGCUCGGCGAAAGCCGGAUUAAUACCGCAUACGACCUGAGGGUGAAAGCGGGGGAUCUUCGGACCUCGCGCUAUUGGAGCGGCCGAUGGCAGAUUAGCUAGUUGGUGGGGUAAAGGCCUACCAAGGCGACGAUCUGUAGCUGGUCUGAGAGGACGACCAGCCACACUGGGACUGAGACACGGCCCAGACUCCUACGGGAGGCAGCAGUGGGGAAUUUUGGACAAUGGGCGAAAGCCUGAUCUAGCAAUGCCGCGUGUGUGAUGAAGGCCUUCGGGUUGUAAAGCACUUUUGGCGGGAACGAAAAGGACUGUGCCAAUACCACGGUUCGAUGACGGUACCCGCAGAAUAAGCACCGGCUAACUACGUG